rnacentral:tRNA from 1 species
GUGGUUGUAGCUCAGUGGUAGAGCACUUCCUCAAAAGUGUGAGGCACUGAGUUUGAUCCUCAGCACCAUA